rnacentral:rRNA from 1 species
GACGAACGCUGGCGGCGUGCUUAACACAUGCCAGUCGAACGGAAAGGCCUCUUUCGGGGGGUACUCGAGUGGCGAACGGGUGAGUAACACGUGAAUAACCUGCCCUUGACUUUGGGAUAACUUCAGGAAACUGGGGCUAAUACCGGAUAGGAGCUCCUGCUGCAUGGUGGGGGUUGGAAAGUUUCGGCGGUUGGGGAUGGACUCGCGGCUUAUCAGCUUGUUGGUGGGGUAGUGGCUUACCAAGGCUUUGACGGGUAGCCGGCCUGAGAGGGUGACCGGCCACAUUGGGACUGAGAGACGGCCCAGACUCCUACGGGAGGCAGCAGUGGGGAAUAUUGCACAAUGGGUGGAAGCCUGAUGCAGCAACGCCGUGUGCGGGAUGACGGCCUUCGGGUUGUAAACCGCUUUCGCUCAUGACGAAGCUUUGCGUGACGGUAGUGGGUAAAGAAGCACCGGCUAACUACGUG